GACGAACGCUGGCGGCGCGCUUAACACAUGCAAGUCGAGCGAAGCGGCGGACGGGUGAGUAACACGUGAGUAACCUGCCUUAGACAUUGGGAUAGCCUCGGGAAACCGGGAUUAAUACCAAAUGGUCUAAGAUUGACUCGCGUCCCAUUAGCGAGUUGGUGAGGUAACGGCCCACCAAGGCGACGAUGGGUAGCCGGAAUGAGAGGGGGAACGGACAGAGGGGAAAUGGGAAACGGUCCAAACUCUACGGGAGGAAGAAGUGGGGAAUAGUGAACAAUGGAGGGAAGGCUGAUGCAGGGAGGCCGCGGGAACGAAGAAGGCUUUCGAGUCGGAAAGUUCUUUUAUAUGGGAAGCGGUACCAUAAGAAAAAGCCCCGGCUAACUACGUGCCAGCAGCCGCGGUAAUUC
rnacentral:rRNA from 1 species